GAUCUUUCAGAUGUGUAAAACCUACCCCUUUUGCUGAGUAUACGGAUUAAUUUCGACGCCCAGCGUCAUACUUAGUUCUUAUCUCUGACACUGAUCUUCCUUUUAUUAAUUUAAGUACUUCCGACACCUUUUCGAACCGCAUGAGCAAGGUAUCUUCUCAUCCUCGAAUGGGAAUUUGUAGUCGUAGGUAAGCUCCUCGCCCUGCACGAUUCGGCGCAGCGCAAAGAUGAUGAUGUGCUUGUGCCCUAAGAUGUCCACCACUUUCGAAUAGCAAUUCGGCUGCAAGAAAAAAGGAUUUGAGCAUCUCCAGUGUAAUAGGACACUUCACUUUGUACUCACCUCACAGCAGUGAUUAAUGAAACGCGCCGCAUUGCCGCGCAUCGUGGCAUCAACUACAAGGUUAUCGUCAAUUUUGAACAUAUAGCACCCAAUGCCGCGGCUGUCGUAGUAGCGUUCCCUUUUGUCCGUCAGUGUAGAGCGAAUCAACUCACCGGCAUAUUCGAUAACCAUUUCACCUGGAAUUAGAUUAAGAUUAAGAUCCAAUUAAUUUAUUUAUUUUGUUCAUCAACGCUGAAAGGAAAGGGAAUCUUACCCGCUUCAAUGUCCUUAGUGCAGUAGAGGCCUCGUCCAUGGAUAUGGGAUCUGAAGACUCCAACAUAAUCCUUGUAAGUUUCCUUAAGAGUCCGAUACUUCAUGGCCAUGGGUAG
ensembl:ncRNA asRNA:CR46020 antisense RNA:CR46020